UACGGAGGGAGCUAGCGUUGUUCGGAAUUACUGGGCGUAAAGCGCACGUAGGCGGCUUUGUAAGUUAGAGGUGAAAGCCCGGAGCUCAACUCCGGAACUGCCUUUAAGACUGCAUCGCUUGAAUCCAGGAGAGGUGAGUGGAAUUCCGAGUGUAGAGGUGAAAUUCGUAGAUAUUCGGAAGAACACCAGUGGCGAAGGCGGCUCACUGGACUGGUAUUGACGCUGAGGUGCGAAAGCGUGGGGGAGCAAACAGG
rnacentral:rRNA from 1 species